ensembl:lncRNA
CUAGUAUACAAAUGUAGUUUGAAUGUAUUAGCUUAUAGUACAAAAUAUAUUAAUAACGAACUAUAAUUCAUGAAAAUAAAUAAUUAUUCCGAACUAUGGUACACAUUUUUUGGUUAGUUUUUCCAUAGAGGACGUAGAGAACAUCCUCUGCGUCCUGUGAUUCUGAAUAAUAGAGUGCUUUCCCCUCCCAUGUCCUCUCCCUGACUGAUGCAGAAGAUAACCGAGGAUAAACAAGAAAAACAAAUGAGCUGAAUGGAAAUGUGUGCAAUUUAGCUGUUUAUUAGGCAGUUGUGUAUGCAAAUGAUUUCAACACCGUCCAUUGAGAUUUACAUUGGUCAUUCUGGCAGGGUCCCUAUACGCAGCCAAACAAAUAACAAAACAAUGAACAAGAUUUGAUUAAAGAAGUUCAGACAAAUGGAAUCUCCUGAAUAAAGUCCAGUAUAGGGACUAACCACUCUUUACAUGAUCCAUCCAACAAACAUAGUUACACACUGUCAUGUUUGCUCAUCAAACUAUGAUUAAACUUUAGGCACAAAAUCAAAUAUUUUCUUGCAACUGCCUCUCAAAACUAAACAUGGGUGAGUAACACAAGUAUUCUGAAGACCAUUUGGUGUAAUAAUUACAGUUUGAAUAAUGUUUAGACAGUGACCAAUUUACUCUCGUCAACUGUUCAGAUUUCCAUCCAAACCUGUACUAAGACGGAAACAGACACAUUGAGAAUAAUUGGCACCCCUGUCUUACUUUUUCAUUAGUUACAUCCUAAUAAUUUGGCUUGGCAUGUAACAAUCCGUAUUUAUGUAAACCAAAAUGAUCACUUUAUACUGAGGGAGCUUCAACCGACUACACAGCUCCACCUGUGUGCAACGUUGUCAUUCGUCUUUCUACCUUCCAUGCUGUGGAAACAUUCAUUGGCUGUGGUAUAGUUUAUAGUUGAGGACCGUUUCACUGGUUAAGUGAUCGAGUGCAGUUAGGUCCGAUGUGAAAGUACAAAAUACAGCUUAGGGAUUGACACUGGAUAAGUUCAAUAGUGUUAGAAUCAUCAUGGGUUCACUAUUCACUUUCUGCAGUCACCUUUACAUUCAGUCAAGUCCCCCCCCAAAACAUUUGGAUAUCAGCCCAUUUGUAAAAAAAGGCUACUUUGAUUAAAAUGUGAUUUUGUCAAUUUAUCAAAGCCUUUGAAUUAACUUUUUUUGAUAUGCUAGAAACCAACCAUAUUAAAUAUUUCUUUGUUUUUCAAGUCAACUGUUCACACACCGGCUAAAUUCCAAGCCAUCGAACAUCAUUCAGCUUUAUCCAGACCUUAAAUCACCGAAGGCUGUAGUUGAGAAGCUAUUGGUUAUUAGAUCAUUUGGAUUCCUAUUCCUAGCACGAUUAUAUCACAUUCCCAAGGUGGAGAAUACUUUGCACUUGCAGCACUUUUUUAGAAUGAUGAUUGCAUAGAGAUUUUCUGUUUAAAAUUGCUGCUAUGUAAUGUUGAGUACUAAUAAGAGUUAUCGAUUCGUGAUCAUUUCAUGGGAUGCCAAUAUUUCUAAUGCCAAUGGUCUCUUUUAUACUGAUGAAAUUUAACAGUAAUGAUAAACAUAAGGCAGCCAAAAACAAAAAAACAAAAAGGCGUAGGUCUUUGCUAGACCAAAGUCUAGUAAAAUGAGGUGGGUGGAUCACACAAAGCCAAACCUUUCUACAGAGAUUUUUAAAGGUUUCAAAAUGAAAAGGAAAACUCAAAACAACAGUCACCACUCUGGGAACAUAAUGGGCUGCGAGAUGCAAGUCUACGAAGCAUACACGAUAUACGUCGACAUUGUACGUGUUCACCUGCCAUCAAACGUUGGUCAUGCACUGCAUGUAACUGCUACAAUUCAGGUUUUCAAAUUGAGCCCUGAGCCCAAUAGCGUUGUUGAAGAGAUUGUCAGAAUAUACAAAGUGCACAGGGUCAGCCUGUGCAGAACACGGUAAAACUGAAUGUAGGCAAAAGGCAAGUCAUUCGGUAAUUCUGCUCUCACCUUAAAUCGAUAACAAAAAAAUUGGAUAAUAUUUUUUUGGUCAAUUAAAUAGGAUUUUCUAGAAUUGGUCAUUGCAAGGAGUACUUACUCGUGUAGCAACAAAACAAUAUAUGGACAUUUAUAUGGAACGACCACCAUGGGUCUCAAAUCUAUGGUGAUUGACAAUAAACCAGACAUUAAUAUUGUUUCUGAAAACCAAAAAAAACCAACCAAUAAAAACCAUCCAGCAACAGUCCUUAAUGCAAGAAGAAAUUCUGUUAAUAAAUGUUUUUUUUUUU